CCUUGACAUACUAAGAACUUUCCAGAGAUGGAUUGGUGCCUUCGGGAACUUAGAUACAGGUGCUGCAUGGCUGUCGUCAGCUCGUGUCGUGAGAUGUUGGGUUAAGUCCCGNAACGAGCGCAACCCUUUUCCUUAUUUGCCAGCGGGUCAUGCCGGGAACUUUAAGGAUACUGCCAGUGACAAACUGGAGGAAGGCGGGGACGACGUCAAGUCAUCAUGGCCCUUACGGCCAGGGCUACACACGUGCUACAAUGGUCGGUACAAAGGGUUGCUACCUCGCGAGAGGAUGCUAAUCUCAAAAAAGCCGAUCGUAGUCCGGAUCGCAGUCUGCAACUCGACUGCGUGAAGUCGGAAUCGCUAGUAAUCGCGGAUCAGAAUGCCGCGGUGAAUACGUUCCCGGGCCUUGUACACACCGCCCGUCACACCAUGGGAGUUUGUUGCACCAGAAGUAGGUAGUCUAACCGCAAGGAGGACGCUUACCACGGUGUGGCCGAUGACUGGGGUGAAGUCGUAACAAGGUAAGCGUAGAUGA
rnacentral:rRNA from 1 species